rnacentral:tRNA from 1 species
GGUGGGCUCAGUGGUAGAGUGCGUAUUUAACAUGUGUGAGGUCCUGGGUUCAAUCCCCAGUACCUCCA